rnacentral:lncRNA from 1 species
CAGCAGGCCAGCUUGGAUUCAGGACCAUGUCCCUGGUGCUUCCCUCCAUGCUCUGUCUUGGAGAGUCUGAGAGAGAAGGGCCCAGCUACAAAUACAGGCUCCAGGUGGCAGGUCCAUCGGUUCUAGGAGGCUGGGGUGUCUCACCCACUGUUUCCUUCCAGGGAUGUGUCUAGGCCAGAGCACUCAGGCGCAGAAGGGAAAUCUCCCACGACCUCUUCUCAUGGCUCUACCAGGAUCUACGGUUCCACCUGGGAAUCCAGUGAUGAUCCUGUGCAGAGGGCCUCAGAAGCUGAAGCAUAUGCGCUAUCUAGAGUGAGAAGCCCUGAGCCCUCAGAUAGAGAGAAGCAACUGCUGUCUAAGACGUCCAACACUUAGAGUAUCUCAGAGAUGACGCCAUACUGGGCAGGGUUGUACCACUGUUCCUAUCAAAGUGUAGGCAGCUGGUCCCAGUUCAGUGACCCCCUGCAACCAGUGAUGACUAGUGAGUAGGACACAAGGGCAGCACAACCAGGACUGACCUCUUUGCAGAGGGAAGAACCAGACGUUGCAGAUAUGAAGCACAGAGGACCAAAACCUCUAUCCUUAGAAAGGGUUAGGGAUGAUGCAGACACAGAUUCCUCACAGCAGGACAAGGAGGGGAUAGAAACCAGAGCCAUGUCUACUCUGGGGGAACAAAAAGGGACAAUGCAUACAUGUGGCCCAGCCCUUUAUCUACAAGCUUCCUUCUUUCUCAGGAGCUUAUGAGAAACCCUUCCUCUCAAGCAUGACUGGUAUCAUGGUGCCUUCAGGGAAGAAUGAGAAGUUGCGGUGUUUCUCAACACUCAAGUUUGAUGCAUCUAUUCUUAUGAAGAAAGAUGGAGUUCACACCAUCCAGAACCAAAUCUCCACCUCUGAGGGUGGUGGACACCAGGCUGUGUUCCUCUUGAAUCAUGUCUCCUCCACACAAACUGGGACCUACAGAUGCUAUGGUGUCUUCGGUCAUUACCCUUAUGUGUGGUCUCACCCCAGUGACCGAUUGCAGCUUUGGGUCACAGAUUCCCUGAUGGGAUCACCACUGUGGCCACAAUCAAAGGAGGAAUGAAAGAACCUGCUGCCUGGCAUCUUUCUGCAGAGAAUCAAGUCCGGCUGAGCAUGGCUGGCCUGAUUCUCUUGGUCCUGGGGGUGCUCUUGGCUGAGGCCUGGUACAGCCGGAAGAUGCCCUUAAAUGGACACAGACAAGCCCCCACCUGAGUGUAAUGACAGCACCGAUGUCCUUCUAUUGGCAUCUAAUGACUGUGUGGACCCUGGGGGAGCAGCCAGAGGAGAUAGUGCCCUGGCCAUGUCACCUACUGAGAUAUCGGAGAAGACUUGUUUCUUGUUGAAUCUGUAACAACCUACCCCAGACACUUCGGUUUAAAGCAACACCAAUUCAUUCUCUUUUCAUUCUAGGGAGCAGGAGUCUAAAAAGUGUCUGCAGGCCUGCAUUCCUCUUUUAGCGUCUGGUCUGUGUUCCUGCCUUUUCUGUUUCUGGGCUCCGCCUGCAUUCCUUGCCUUCUGGAUCCCUCCUCCAUCUCCAAACCCACCAGUGUAGCAUCUUCUCUCCUCUCUGACCUCUGCUUCCUUCCCGCCUUCUUCUCUCUCUUGCUCCCACCCUCCUGCUUCCCUCUUAUAAGGACCCUUGUGGUGACAUUGGGCCUAAGAAGAUAAUCCAGGAUAAUCUCUCAGUUUCCAGAGUCUCGUCUUCCUCACAUCACAAUGUCCCUUAGCCGUGUCAGGUCCCACUCACAGUUCUGGGAAUUAGACGAGCACAACUUGAGGGGGACCAUUCAGCCGACCUCCAGUAGCUCAGUACAUCUGACCAUAGCGCAGGGCUGUGCUUGCACUUGUGCACUAACUCCUGGGGGAGACGUGGGGAUUGAAUAUUUAAUACUCUUUAGAAUUUAAAACAGGACAUGAUCUAAAUAGAGAGGGAGAGAUGCUUAACGAAUCCUGCUUCUGUAUGUCACAAUGUAUUAGCCCUGAGCUAACUACUGCCAGUCCUCCUCUUUUUGCUGAGGAAGCCUUGCCCUGAGCUAACAUCCGUGCCCAUCUUCCUCUACUUUAUAUGUGGGAAGCCUGCCACAGCAUGGCGUGCCAAGCUGUGCCAUGUCCGCACCCUGGAUCCAAACCAGCGAACUCUGGGCCGCCGAGAAGAGGAACGUGCGUACUUAACCACUGCACCACCGGGCCAGCCCCUGAAAAGGAACGUCCUUAAAAGCAUGACACUAAAACAACAGACUCAACAGAAUGGUUAAAUCUGACUCCUGUUAUAGUUGAGUGGAUGAAAUCAUUCUGGAACUUCUUAGCUCCAAUCUACUGAAGUAAAGAAUAAAUAUCCUCACACUUAAACCAGGUGGACACUGUGCUCUGUAGAGACAUGGAGAUACUAAGUUCCAUCACUUGCCCUUUGGUCUCAUCUCUGCCCUGUGAUUAGAUUCUCGAAGAGCUCUCUGCUACCGGCUGCUGUUCCCUUACUAAAUUUCUCUUCUUUGGGAGUCAUCUCAUCUUCUUUGCAACCACUCAGUUCUGCUGUUGUCACACAAAACUACUUCAGGUGACACAUAGCCACAAAGGCAUGGCUGUGUUCCAAUAAAAUUUGUUUACACACACUGAACUUGAAUUUCAGAUCAUCUCCAUGGGCCAAAAAAUAUUAAUUUUUUUUAUUUUUUCAAGCA